rnacentral:rRNA from 1 species
CACGUAGGGCGCGAGCGUUGUCCGGAAUUAUUGGGCGUAAAGAGCUCGUAGGCGGCCUGUUGCGUCCGCUGUGAAAGCCCGGGGCUUAACCCCGGGUCGGCAGUGGAUACGGGCAGGCUAGAGGUAGGUAGGGGAGAAUGGAAUUCCCGGUGUAGCGGUGAAAUGCGCAGAUAUCAGGAGGAACACCGGUGGCGAAGGCGGGUCUCUGGGCCGUAACUGACGCUGGAGGAGCGAAAGCGUGGGGAGCGAACAGG